rnacentral:rRNA from 1 species
GGACGAACGCUGGCGGCGUGCUUAACACAUGCAAGUCGAACGCUGAAGCUUGGUGCUUGCACUGGGUGGAUGAGUGGCGAACGGGUGAGUAAUACGUGAGUAACCUGCCCUUGACUCUGGGAUAAGCCUGGGAAACUGGGUCUAAUACUGGAUACGACAUGUCACCGCAUGGUGGUGUGUGGAAAGGGUUUUACUGGUUUUGGAUGGGCUCACGGCCUAUCAGCUUGUUGGUGGGGUAAUGGCUCACCAAGGCGACGACGGGUAGCCGGCCUGAGAGGGUGACCGGCCACACUGGGACUGAGACACGGCCCAGACUCCUACGGGAGGCAGCAGUGGGGAAUAUUGCACAAUGGGCGAAAGCCUGAUGCAGCGACGCCGCGUGAGGGAUGACGGCCUUCGGGUUGUAAACCUCUUUCAGCACGGAAGAAGCGAAAGUGACGGUACGUGCAGAARAAGCGCCGGCUAACUAC